GAUGAACGCUGGCGGCGUGCCUAAUACAUGCAAGUCGAGCGAACAGACGAGGAGCUUGCUCCUCUGACGUUAGCGGCGGACGGGUGAGUAACACGUGGAUAACCUACCUAUAAGACUGGGAUAACUUCGGGAAACCGGAGCUAAUACCGGAUAAUAUAUUGAACCGCAUGGUUCAAUAGUGAAAGACGGUUUUGCUGUCACUUAUAGAUGGAUCCGCGCCGCAUUAGCUAGUUGGUAAGGUAACGGCUUACCAAGGCAACGAUGCGUAGCCGACCUGAGAGGAGGAGCAGCCACACUGGAACUGAGACACGGUCCAGACUCCUACGGGAGGCAGCAGUGGGGAAUAUUGGACAAUGGGCGCAAGCCUGAUCCAGCCAUACCGCGUGAGUGAAGAAGGCCUUCGGGUCGUAAAGCCCUUUUGUUGGGAAAGAAAAGCAGCAGGUUAAUACCCCGCGGUUCUGACGGUACCCAAAGAAUAAGCACCGGCUAACUUCGUG
rnacentral:rRNA from 1 species